GUGCUUUCCCUUUAAAUGCUUGUCUCUUGGUUUGAAUAUGUCCAACGCUGCAGCUUCUGUUGCUGUCUCUGAUUGUCUGCACAUUAAUUAUCCUCUGCCUUUGAUUACGUUGUGCCUUCAAAGUGUAAAGAACUGCUGGGGAUAUUCAUGAGCUCAUGGUGUCAAGGGCCUACCCUAUGAUGGGACGUAUGUGUGUGUGUGUAUGAAGAGGAACGGUCACUCUGUGGACAAUCCCUGCUGGAAGAAGAGAAGCUGUAUGUGAGGUGUGGGAUGAAGCCGUGUGCCAGAAAACCCAAUGGGAGAAGCAAAUUCCAGAACCUCUGAGGGACUUUCACUGAGAACACAACAAGAGGCAUUUAUAUUCAACAACAAGAACAAAAAGUGACAACUCCACCCAGAGACUCCCACUCAGCUUGAGUUCCAGCGUUGUCACCCUUGUUUGCCAAGACCUCACCUUGUCUGGAACUCUAUAAAGCAGAGACAUCUAGUGGCUGAAUGCAGGUGAACAUAUUAUUAUUUCCUGUCUUGAGACUUUCAAAUCUAAGUGGUAUCACAAGUUCUACAGCUGACGUGAACUGUCAUGCUGGCUUACACAAAAAGAAGCAGUCUCUCAGACAGGCAAGACCCAAACCACGUAGAGCUUUAUCAAUCAAUGACAAUGAAUUAAACAGGAAGCAGGUGCAGUUGGUGUUGAAUUGGCGUGAUAUGCUGUCCAUGGCUAACCCUGUCAAGCAAGAGGACAGAUCAUUGUGUGCCACCUGAAACUUCUGUAUUGAGUGCAUUGUAGCAAUGCGGCCAGACCGUCAGCCAGUGUAAGCCAAUGAAAUCAGUGGAACUAUGCUGAUGUACACCAUCUGAGGAUCUGGCCCAAUGAACAUAGAAGUCACAAAGGCCUAGGUAACUGUGUGGCAGUCUGCAACCUACAGAAAUGGUUGCAAUCAUCUUGUCAGAUAUAAUUUAAAUAAACAUUGUGCUGUGGCUACUGAAAUUACCUGGGAAUGCAGAAGAAAAAUACAAC